AAGAGUAAUGCCAAAAUAAGAACUUCUAAUUCACAUUUAAAUGGUUAGAUUCCAUUAAACUCUUU
rnacentral:tRNA from 1 species